rnacentral:rRNA from 1 species
AUUGAACGCUGGCGGCAGGCCUAACACAUGCAAGUCGAACGGUAACAGGAAGAAGCUUGCUUCUUUGCUGACGAGUGGCGGACGGGUGAGUAAUGUCUGGGAAACUGCCUGAUGGAGGGUGAUAACUACUGGAAACGGUAGCUAAUACCGCAUAACGUCGCAAGACCAAAGAGGGGGACCUUCGGGCCUCUUGCCAUCGGAUGUGCCCAGAUGGGAUUAGCUAGUAGGUGGGGUAACGGCUCACCUAGGCGACGAUCCCUAGCUGGUCUGAGAGGAUGACCAGCCACACUGGAACUGAGACACGGUCCAGACUCCUACGGGAGGCAGCAGUGGGGAAUAUUGCACAAUGGGCGAAAGCCUGAUGCAGCCAUGCCGCGUGUAUGAAGAAGGCCUUCGGGUUGUAAAGUACUUUCAGCGGGGAGGAAGGGAGUAAAGUUAAUACCUGUGCUCAUUGACGUUACCCGCAGAAGAAGCACCGGCUAACUCCGUG